rnacentral:rRNA from 1 species
UGAGGAAUAUUGGUCAAUGGGCGGAGCCUGAACCAGCCAAGUCGCGUGAGGGAAGACGGUCCUAUGGAUUGUAAACCUCUUUUGUCGGGGAGCAAAGAGGCCACGUGUGGUCAAAAGCGAGAGUACCCGAAGAAAAAGCAUCGGCUAACUCCGUCGCC